rnacentral:rRNA from 1 species
GAGUUUGAUCAUGGCUCAGAACGAACGCUGGCGGCGCGCCUAAUACAUGCAAGUCGAGCGAGAAGGUGUAGCAAUACACUUGUAAAGCGGCGAACGGGUGAGGAAUACAUGGGUAAUCUACCAUCGAGUGGGGAAUAACCAACCGAAAGGUUGGCUAAUACCGCGUACGCUUCUGAGCCUUCGGGUUCGGAAGGAAAGCCGUACUGUGAGUGCGGCGCUCUUUGAUGAGCUCAUGUCCUAUCAGCUUGUUGGUAGGGUAACGGCCUACCAAGGCUUUGACGGGUAGCUGGUCUGAGAGGACGAUCAGCCACACUGGCACUGCGACACGGGCCAGACUCCUACGGGAGGCAGCAGUAAGGAAUAUUGCGCAAUGGGCGAAAGCCUGACGCAGCGACGCCGCGUGGGGGAUGAAGGUCUUCGGAUUGUAAACCCCUUUCGGGAGGGAAGAUGGAGCGAGCAAUCGUUCGGACGGUACCUCCAGAAGCAGCCACGGCCAACUUCGUGCCAGCAGCCGCGGUAAUACGAAGGUGGCAAGCGUUGUUCGGAUUCACUGGGCGUACAGGGUGUGUAGGCGGUUUGGUAAGCCUUCUGUUAAAGCUUCGGGCCCGACCCGGAAAGCGCAGAGGGUACUGCCAGGCUAGAGGGUGGGAGAGGAGCGCGGAAUUCCCGGUGUAGCGGUGAAAUGCGUAGAGAUCGGGAAGAAGGCC